rnacentral:snoRNA from 1 species
GUGCCCUUUUAAGGUUGACACAGUGCCUUAAGAGGCUAAAACAGAAGGGUAAAGGAAGCCUCCAUAAAACCCAGAGAAGAGCCUGAAAC